rnacentral:sRNA from 1 species
CGAGAUUCGAUCCGACGUCGACCCCUCCGAUCCGGACGACCAACAACCCUUCAACCCCUAGGCUACCUUUACCCUUGGUCCCAAAAUCAAUAAUUGGGACCAAGAGCGCCAAAAUUGGCUCACUCAAAACCCUCAAUACCCUAAUUUCAUCAUAGGUUCUCGGUGACUAUGGAUGAGACUCGAUUUGGGUUUCUUUAGGUUUAUGCGGU